rnacentral:rRNA from 1 species
CGCGGCCUAUCAGCUUGUUGGUGGGGUAAUGGCCUACCAAGGCUUCGACGGGUAGCCGGCCUGAGAGGGUGACCGGCCACACUGGGACUGAGACACGGCCCAGACUCCUACGGGAGGCAGCAGUGGGGAAUCUUGCGCAAUGGGCGAAAGCCUGACGCAGCAACGCCGCGUGCGGGAAGAAGGCCUUCGGGUUGUAAACCGCUUUCAGCAGGAACGAAAAUGACGGUACCUGCAGAAGAAGGUGCGGCCAACUACGUGCCAGCAGCCGCGGUGACACGUAGGCACCAAGCGUUGUCCGGAUUUAUUGGGCGUAAAGAGCUCGUAGGCGGUUCAGUAAGUCGGGUGUGAAAACUCUGGGCUUAACCCAGAGCCGCCACCCGAUACUGCUGUGACUAGAGUCCGGUAGGGGAGUGGGGAAUUCCUAGUGUAGCGGUGAAAUGCGCAGAUAUUAGGAGGAACACCGGUGGCGAAGGCGCCACUCUGGGCCGGAACUGACGCUGAGGAGCGAAAGCGUGGGUAGCAGACAGGAUUAGAUACCCUGGUAGUCCACGCCGUAAACGUUGGGCACUAGGUGUGGGCCUCAACCAACGAGGUCCGUGCCGUCGCUAACGCAUUAAGUGCCCCGCCUGGGGAGUACGG